rnacentral:rRNA from 1 species
UACGUAGGCAGCAAGCGUUGUUCGGAGUUACUGGGCGUAAAGGGUGUGUAGGCGGCCUAUUAAGUUCCGUGUGAAAUCUCCCGGCUCAACCGGGAGGGUGCGCGGAAAACUGAUGGGCUAGAGUGCGGGAUGGGAGAGUAGAAUUCCGGGUGUAGUGGUGAAAUGCGUAGAGAUCCGGAGGAACACCAGUGGCGAAGGCGACACGCUGGGUUACACCUGACGCUAAAACGCGACAGCAUGGGGAGCAAACGGG